GCAAGGCCUUGCGCUCUUUGAGCGGCCGAUGUCAGAUUAGCUAGUUGGUGAGGUAAAGGCUUACCAAGGCGACGAUCUGUAGCGGGUCUGAGAGGAUGAUCCGCCACACUGGAACUGAGACACGGUCCAGACUCCUACGGGAGGCAGCAGUGGGGAAUUUUGGACAAUGGGGGCAACCCUGAUCCAGCCAUGCCGCGUGAGUGAAGAAGGCCUUCGGGUUGUAAAGCUCUUUCGGCCGGGAAGAAAUCGCAUGGGCCAAUACCCUGUGUGGAUGACGGUACCGGAAUAAGAAGCACCGGCUAACUACGUGCCAGCAGCCGCGGUAAUACGUAGGGUGCGAGCGUUAAUCGGAAUUACUGGGCGUAAAGCGUGCGCAGGCGGUUUUGUAAGACAGGCGUGAAAUCCCCGGGCUUAACCUGGGAACUGCGUUUGUGACUGCAAGGCUAGAGUACGGCAGAGGGGGGUGGAAUUCCACGUGUAGCAGUGAAAUGCGUAGAGAUGUGGAGGAACACCAAUGGCGAAGGCAGCCCCCUGGGUCGAUACUGACGCUCAUGCACGAAAGCGUGGGUAGCAAACAGGAUUAGAUACCCUGGUAGUCCACGCCCUAAACUAUGUCAACUAGGUGUUGGGUGGGUAAAACCAUUUAGUACCGUAGCUAACGCGUGAAGUUGACCGCCUGGGGAGUAUGGCCGCAAGGUUAAAACUCAAAGGAAUUGACGGGGACCCGCACAAGCGGUGGAUGAUGUGGAUUAAUUCGAUGCAACGCGAAAAACCUUACCUACCCUUGACAUGCCAGGAACUUGCCAGAGAUGGCUUGGUGCCCGAAAGGGAGCCUGGACACAGGUGCUGCAUGGCUGUCGUCAGCUCGUGUCGUGAGAUGUUGGGUUAAGUCCCGCAACGAGCGCAACCCUUGUCGUUAAUUGCCAUCAUUUAGUUGGGCACUUUAACGAGACUGCCGGUGACAAACCGGAGGAAGGUGGGGAUGACGUCAAGUCCUCAUGGCCCUUAUGGGUAAGGCUUCACACGUCAUACAAUGGUCGGUACAAAGGGUUGCCAAGCCGCGAGGCGGAGCCAAUCCCAGAAAGCCGAUCGUAGUCCGGAUUGCAGGCUGCAACUCGCCUGCAUGAAGUCGGAAUCGCUAGUAAUCGUGGAUCAGCAUGUCACGGUGAAUACGUUCCCGGGUCUUGUACACACCGCCCGUCACACCAUGGGAGCGGGUUCCGCCAGAAGUAGGUAGCCUAACCGCAAGGGGGGCGCUUACCACGGCGGGGUUCGUGAC
rnacentral:rRNA from 1 species